ACUCAAAGGAAUUGACGGGGGCCCGCACAAGCGGUGGAGCAUGUGGAUUAAUUCGAUGCAACGCGAAGAACCUUACCAAGGCUUGACAUGGUAGCGACCGGUACAGAAAUGUACCUUUCCUUCGGGACGCUACACACAGGUGGUGCAUGGUUGUCGUCAGCUCGUGUCGUGAGAUGUUGGGUUAAGUCCCGCAACGAGCGCAACCCUUAUUUUCAGUUGCCAGCACGUUAAGGUGGGUACUCUGGAGAGACUGCCGUGGAUAACACGGAGGAAGGUGGGGAUGAUGUCAAAUCAUCAUGCCCCUUACGCCUUGGGCUUCACACGUGCUACAAUGGUCUUUACAAAGUGAAGCAAGACCGUGAGGUGGAGCGAACCACAAAAAAAGACCCCAGUUCGGAUUGCAGGCUGCAACUCGCCUGCAUGAAGUUGGAAUCGCUAGUAAUCGCGAAUCAGCAUGUCGCGGUGAAUACGUUCCCGGGCCUUGCACACACCGCCCGU
rnacentral:rRNA from 1 species